rnacentral:rRNA from 1 species
CCGAGAAUAUUCGACAAUGGACGCAAGUCUGAUCGAGCGAUACCGCGUGGUGGAUGAAGCGCUUCGGCGCGUAAACAUCUUUUAUGAGGGAAGAAGUUAUUGACAUUACCUCAUGAAUAAGGGGCUCCUAACUCUGUGCCAGCAGGAGCGGUAAUACAGAGGCCCCGAGCGUUACCCGGAAUUACUGGGCGUAAAGAGUGCGUAGGUGGUCAUGUUAGUCGGCUGUUAAAUGCUCAGGGCUCAACCUUGGGAAUCCGGUCGAAACGGCAUGACUUGAGGGCGUGAGAGGUACAUGGAACUCUAGGUGUAGGGGUGAAAUCCGUUGAUAUCUAGGGGAACACCGAAAGCGAAGGCAAUGUACUGGCGCGUUCCUGACACUCAAGCACGAAAGCGUGGGUAGCGAACGGGAUUAGAUACCCCCGUAGUCC